rnacentral:tRNA from 1 species
CGGGGCGUAGCGCAGUCCGGUAGCGCACUUGACUGGGGGUCAAGAGGUCGGAGGUUCGAAUCCUCUCGCCCCGACCA